rnacentral:rRNA from 1 species
CAAGAAUACGUCUAUCCCAAACCCACUCCCAACUAAGGAUGGGACUACCGUCGUUGGGAGGAAGGCGUUGGAACGGGCGGCUCACGUGACUCGACAAAACGACAUGUUUCUCGGAGAGGAAAAGUUACAUGGUACCACAGGGAAAGGUACGAUCGAGAUUUGAAGACGGGGGUAGUAAGGGUACCACAGAUUCUUUUAGUAUCCCUUCUCCGAGAUCCUCUCCCCCAAACCAAAAUGAAAAGACCAAAACGUUGUGCUACGCUGCUUAAAGAGGACGUGUCUAUUAUGUUAGUUAGGUUGACAAUUGAAACCACACGAAAAACCUACCUGAUUAUACUUCUGCGACCGAUCGAGCGUAACGGUAGUAUAUAAGAUCUUCGUUCUCGUUCCUAAUAUCGCUUUUAUUUCCAUAUACGACUAUUGUUUCCCCAACCUCACCACGGGACACCACUGUCGGCUGUCACCUCUUUCUACUCUCCACCGCGUUUGUACUACCGGUUUGGACACCACGAAACGUUCCAUUGUGUAUACAGGGACCGGAUAGAAAUACAUAGUACUACAAAGAUAAACAUAUGAAUACGUCAUUACGAAUAAUGUUUCGUGUAACUAUGUUCAUACUUCAAAACGUCUAGACAAGUUCGCUCAUGGAAAAGAAAAUACGUGAAAAGAAAAUGAAAGUGAACGAGGAAAACAGUAAACUUUGACCAUCACUUGUAUAUUUCAUUAAGUUUACCCCCGUUAAGAAGACCAAACAUAUAGAUACAGUCGGGAACGAACUUUUGGA